rnacentral:rRNA from 1 species
AGAGUUUGAUCAUGGCUCAGAUUGAACGCUGGCGGCAUGCCUUACACAUGCAAGUCGAACGGUAACGCGGGGGCAACCCUGGCGACGAGUGGCGAACGGGUGAGUAAUAUAUCGGAACGUGCCCUAGAGUGGGGGAUAACUAGUCGAAAGACUAGCUAAUACCGCAUACGAUCUACGGAUGAAAGCGGGGGAUCGCAAGACCUCGCGCUCAUGGAGCGGCCGAUAUCUGAUUAGCUAGUUGGUGGGGUAAAAGCCUACCAAGGCAUCGAUCAGUAGCUGGUCUGAGGGGACGACCAGCCACACUGGGACUGAGACACGGCCCAGACUCCUAUGGGAGGCAGCAGUGGGGAAUUUUGGACAAUGGGGGCAACCCUGAUCCAGCAAUGCCGCGUGAGUGAAGAAGGCCUUCGGGUUGUAAAGCUCUUUUGUCCGGAAAGAAAUCCGCUGGGUUAAUACCUUAGCGGGAUGACGGUACCGGAAGAAUAAGCACCGGCUAACUACGUGCCAGCAGCCGCGGUAAUACGUAGGGUGCAAGCGUUAAUCGGAAUUACUGGGCGUAAAGCGUGCGCAGGCGGUUGUGCAAGACAGAUGUGAAAUCCCCCGGGGCUUAACCUGGGAACUGCAUUUGUGACUGCACGGCUAGAGUGUGUCAGAGGGGGGUAGAAUUCCACGUGUAGCAGUGAAAUGCGUAGAUAUGUGGAGGAAUACCGAUGGCGAAGGCAGCCCCCUGGGAUAACACUGACGCUCAUGCACGAAAGCGUGGGGAGCAAACAGGAUUAGAUACCCUAGUAGUCC